GUUAUGUUUCCCUAUUAGAAGAUACAAAGCCAAAAACUCAUACAGACUUCGGAUACACCAUCAAAAUUUUGAGAAGCAAUAAGAAGAUUGGUUAGUAUUUUAAAGUCAAAUAUUACAGGAUGUUAUGUGUAUCAUUGACUAUAAGAAUUAGAACCGCAACCGAUUCCCAAAAGCUAAAGUAAUGUUUCCUUGUUCAAAGAUACAAAGCCAAAGACUCAUACGGACUUCGGCUACACCAUCAAAGCUUUGUGA
rnacentral:sRNA from 1 species